AGUUCUUAGUUGCACAAGCAGCAAAACACCCUUUAGGAAGAGUAGGCGUACCAGAAGAUGUGGCAUCAGCAAUUUCUUUCUUGGCUUCCGAUGAAGCGUCGUUCAUUUCUGGUCAGAUUUUAUAUGUUGAUGGCGCACGGCAUUGUAUAUCUGCUGGAGUAACAACAAGUGUUAAAUAAAACGUGUAAUUGUGUAUUAUAUUGACUGAUUUAUGUCAUUAAAUCUUCAUCAAUUUAAAAUAUGAAAGAGCA
rnacentral:lncRNA from 1 species